rnacentral:rRNA from 1 species
UGGGGAAUAUUGGACAAUGGGGGCAACCCUGAUCCAGCAAUGCCGCGUGAGUGAUGAAGGCCUUCGGGUUGUAAAGCUCUUUCACCCACGACGAUGAUGACGGUAGUGGGAGAAGAAGCCCCGGCUAACUUCGUGCCAGCAGCCGCGGUAAUACGAAGGGGGCUAGCGUUGUUCGGAGUUACUGGGCGUAAAGGGCGCGUAGGCGGCCCGAUCAGUCUGGUGUGAAAGCCCGGGGCUCAACCCCGGAAUUGCACUGGAGACGGUCGAGCUUGAGUGUGGGAGAGGAUGGUGGAAUUCCCAGUGUAGAGGUGAAAUUCGUAGAUAUUGGGAAGAACACCGGUGGCGAAGGCGGCCAUCUGGACCAUUACUGACGCUGAGGCGCGAAAGCGUGGGGAGCAAA